rfam:Prevotella copri strain 2789STDY5834881 genome assembly, contig: SCcontig001203
UUCAUCGUGAGGUGAAAUCUGAAAGAAGCCGGCGGCAAACAUCUGACCUAACGG